CUAUACAUGACUCUGCGCAUAUCAAUAAGCGGAGGAAAAGAAACUAACAAGGAUUCCCUUAGUAACGGCGAGUGAAGCGGGAAGAGCUCAAAUUUGAAAUCUUCAAGGGUUUCCCUUGACGAAUUGUAGUUUAAAGAAGUGUUUUCUGUUAGAGAGGUGGUAAAAGUUCUUUGGAAUAGGACAUCAUAGAGGGUGAGAAUCCCGUAUUUGAUCACUUUCUACUAACGUUGUGAUACACUUUCAAAGAGUCGGAUUGUUUGGGAAUGCAGUCCAAAAUGGGUGGUAAAUUUCAUCUAAAGCUAAAUAUUGGCGAGAGACCGAUAGCGAACAAGUACCGUGAGGGAAAGAUGAAAAGAACUUUGAAAAGAGAGUUAAACAGUACGUGAAAUUGUCAAAAGGGAAGCGUUUGACACCAGUGUUGUUUUUCCGAAAAUCAAUUAUGAAUGGCUUGAUUUUAAGUUUCAUGACCUUAAAAGCUUGUUGCUUAUUUUUCUUGUCUUUCGUAAUGCACUUUUCGGUUAACAAGUCAACAUCAAUUUCUCUUGUUGUAAAAGGUUAAGAGGAAGGUGGCUUUAGCUUUCGGGUAAAGUGUUUAUAGCCUUUUAGCUCUGCAAUCGGAGAGAUUGAGGUCUGCAGCGUAGAUCCUUCGGGGUUAGAUACGUUUGUGCUAAGUUAUAGCUUUUCAUAGACAACUUGUUGACUAUGUUUAGUCUUGUGACUUACUCGCUUACGCUAUUUUACCUACGCUUAGGAUGUUGAUAUGCAUGACUGAUAUAGUCUAUACAUGACUCUGCGCAUAUCAAUAAGCGGAGGAAAAGUCAACUACCUACGCUUAGGAUGUUGAUAUGCAUGACUGAUAU
rnacentral:rRNA from 1 species